AUGCACUAGUUUGCAUGGUGGAAGAUGUGUAUUCCCAAGAAAAAAGGGGUUAUGGGCUUCAGAGAUAUUCACUGCUUUAAUCUUGCACUUCUGGCAAAACAGGCAUGGCGCCUUAUUGACAACCCGAACUCUUUGUGUGCGUUGAUCCUUAAGGAGAAAUAUUUUCCUGAUGGAGAUCUCAUGAAUGCAACUUUAAAAAAGAAGAGUUCAUAUACAUGGCGGAGUAUUAUGGCCGGAGUUGAUACGCUUAGAUCUAGGUAUAUUUGGGGAGUUAGUGAUGGUGAGAAAAUUAGAAUAUGGGAUGAUCCCUGGAUACUGCAGAGCCUAACAAGAAAGGUGAUUUCACCAAGGGGCAACAAUCUUCUUUCUAGAGUUUCUGGCCUCAUUGAUCUGGUGAUAGGGAGUUGGGAUGAGCAGCUGGUUAACCAAAUAGUCUGGCAAGUGGAUGCUCUAAGGAUUUUGGCCAUUCCACUACCAUUACAUGAGAUGACAGAUUUCCUGGCAUGGACCAUGACAAAGUCAGGGACUUCCACAGUGCGAUCUGCAUACCAUACAGAAUGGGAAUUUUAA
rnacentral:rRNA from 1 species